rnacentral:rRNA from 2 species
UGGACGCAAGUCUGAUGGAGCAACGCCGCGUGAGUGAAGAAGGCUUUCGGGUCGUAAAACUCUGUUGUUGGAGAAGAAUGGUCGGCAGAGUAACUGUUGUCGGCGUGACGGUAUCCAACCAGAAAGCCACGGCUAACUACGUGCCAGCAGCCGCGGUAAUACGUAGGUGGCAAGCGUUAUCCGGAUUUAUUGGGCGUAAAGCGAGCGCAGGCGGUUUUUUAAGUCUGAUGUGAAAGCCCUCGGCUUAACCGAGGAAGUGCAUCGGAAACUGGGAAACUUGAGUGCAGAAGAGGACAGUGGAACUCCAUGUGUAGCGGUGAAAUGCGUAGAUAUAUGGAAGAACACCAGUGGCGAAGGCGGCUGUCUGGUCUGUAACUGACGCUGAGGCUCGAAAGCAUGGGUAGCGAACAGGAUUAGAUACCCUGGUAGUCCAUGCCGUAAACGAUGAAUGCUAGGUGUUGGAGGGUUUCCGCCCCUUCAGUGCUGCAGCUAACGCAUUAAGCAUUCCGCCUGGGGAGUACGACCGCAAGGUUGAAACUCAAAGGAAUUGACGGGGGCCCGCACAAGCGGUGGAGCAUGUGGUUUAAUUCGAAGCAACGCGAAGAACCUUACCA